rnacentral:sRNA from 12 species
UGGCGUUGAUGCCGAGAAGCGUGUCAGGAAGCGGGACUCGGUCUAGCCUUUCGUAGGGUUUUUGCUAUAGAAACCUCAACCUGACUUAUGUAUGAUUGCAUACAGACAUAAAAAAUAGCAAAAUG